AGGACACUGCAGCUGCCUUGGUGGCCAGCCCCACGGGAGCACCGGCUCACGGGGGUCUUACUGGGGCUCCACCCAGCACCAGGCUGGGGCUGCCCCCAGUGAGGGCCCGCAGGACCCCGACUCCCAGGGCGCCUCGGCCCUCCGUACCCAGUGUGGCAGCGCGGUGCUGGGGGCUGUUGACGUUGUAGUGCAGGUUAUCUGAAGGACCGAGAAGGGAGGUGACGUCACUGCCAUCGCCAUCCCGGCUGGCACUCUUGCCCGGAAGUGUGUCACUUCUGGCUCCCAGUUCAGUACAGCUCCCACCCCCUCCUUAGAGCCCCCCAGGUCGGCUUACUCUAUCGGUCCCAGAGGAAACAGAGGAUGGGGGCUCAGGGUCAUGGCUGGGGAGUGACAUGUUCCUCUUCUGCAUUAACCUCAACACCCAGGACUCUGGUGGUCUCCUCUCACUACUCAGGCCUGGUGGCCCCUCCUGACUCCACAUCUCUGCCUCGACGGGCACCCUCGCUCAUUUGAAUAAUCAGAUAUGCCUGCUGGCCCUCUUCCCAGUCCGCAUUAAGGCGGGAAGACCCACAGCGGCUGUCCCUCUGGCGCUGGGAUGCCUUCCAGGGUUCACCAUCCCCAACAGGCUGGAGAUGGAAGCCAGAGCUCUAAGCAUGCCAGGAAAUCUGCAGUGCAGAGCUGUGGUCCAUCUUUGGCUACGAACCUUCUAAUGUUGACCUUCCUAGAGCACACUUCCUGCCUGACAUAUUCCUUCAAGAACUCCUUCCGUGGUCCAGCCACAUCCUCCUGUGUGGCCUUGCCUCACCAUGAACUGAGAGACCUCUUAAUUCUGUUCCCUGGGCAGCCUUUCUGGUUGCAAUAAAAGAUGCCCUACUCGUUCACUUAGGCAGACCUCAAA